GAAAACUAAAAUGUGAGCAACUGAUGUUCACACCAAAAGAUGUGUUCCCUUUAUAAUUGUAAAAGAUAAGGUAGGUCAUUAUCAAGAAAUGGCAACGGAAUGAACAGAAGAUAUAGGUGGAGGCUGUGUGAGAAGACAUAAUAGCCUUAGGGUGUGUUUGGUUGGAUGGAGUGAACUUCGGAAUAUAAUUAUUAUUCCAAUGGAAUAUCUAUUCCUGUGUUUGGUUCACAAAUAAAUGAUGGAAUGACUAUUCCAAGGAGAAUAACUAUUCCCCCAAAUGAGAGAAUAGGGAUUCCAUUAAAAAAAGAGAGGAAUUGUUAUUCCAUUCCUAUUCUUAUUUUGUCGGGAAGAAGACUCUGCCUCAUCUCUCUCUCUCGCUUCUCACUCCUCCAACAAAAAAGAUGAUCUCAGCUUUCCUCUCUCGUCUGAUCGAUCGAUCUUCACUUGGAUUUCUUUGGUGAUAUUCUAAUAGCCAGUUUGGGAACUGACACUAUGGUAUAGGAUAGCAUAGUGUAUGAGAAGCAUGCCUGGUUGCAGGAUUGGUUUAGUAGGGAUGGGAUUCUUCCAAUCCUAGGACAAAAUUUGGCUUGAAAUUAAUUCCAACCCCCAUUUUUAGAAUGGGCAUUGGGGUAUGUGCUUGUACAAGAGUAUAAUUGAAAUGAUGAUAUUUCUCAUUUGCCAUGUACCCGCCCCGCCCCCCUCCAUUGUGUUUGUGCUAGAUUUGUGCAUACAAGCAGCUAAACCAGUACGAUGUGUAUGGUUUAUUUUAGAACUAUUGUACUAUGUGUGAUGCUGAACAAUUCGUAUCGUUAGCCAGUUGCUAGUGGUCAGCAUUGAUUGAUAGGUUUUAACCUGUUUUCAUGCACAACGGUCAAUAGAUUUUUUUCCUCAUCUGUCAUUAAUUGAUUAUGUUGCUUUAUAUUUUGAUAGGUUUUAACCUGUUUUCAUGCACUGAUUGAUAUAGGUUUUAACUGCAUGAGUGCAUGUUGUAGGCUGGUUGCAUGUAUUAGGCUCUGAAUCCAGUGUGCUUGAACCCGUAAAUGAAAGAUUGUGGUUCAGUUUCUGUACUUGUAGUCAGACUGCAAGAGAGAAAUGAGGUGAAAUCCCAAAGAUAACAAAGUGCCUUAUAAUCUAGUUCUUGAACUGGACAGAUUUGGUAACACAUUUACACAUUCCUACUCUCUAAAUUGAUGCCCUUUCUGCAGGAGCAGUUCUAUUCUUUAUGCCAUUGGUUUCUAAAUUGAUGCCCUUUCUGCAGUGGCAGAUUGCAUUUGUGUUUUACAAGAACAAUAGAAGGCUUGCCGUGCUUUUAAUUUGCUGUUUGUUAGUUGCAACUUCAUCCGGUUGCUAGUUCUGGUUCCAUGCAUUCAGAUUUUAGCUAGUAGGUUUGUACCGGACUCGCCAAUUCGACUAGGAGCUGUUAAUACAGGAGUUGGGGUCAUCCUAUACAUUAGUUAUGUACGUGCGCAGCAUCACAAAUAUUGUAGUUGUGCCUCUUGACAUUAUGUUUGCUGUUUCUUAGUUGCAAUUUUAUUCGUAUGCUAGUUUCACAAGUUUGUCCCUUACAUUCAUAUUCUUAGGAAGUAAAAAACCAGUAGUUCAACCCAUCCCUACUGGAUUUUUGCGUAGCACUGAAGAGUUUCUAUCUUAUUUCAUGUUGAUUCAGAGCCAUCAGGAUGCAGCUAAUUGGAGGAAUAGGAGUUUCCCACACUUUGACAUGCUGAAGAUUGAAGAAGCAACUAAUAAGUUCAGUCAAGCUCUUGGUGUCGAUCUUGAUAUUGCUCGAAAGAGGGACCAAAUAAAUGACAGGCUUCGGAAGCUUUCAAAGAUAUCUGUGCUUCAACGCCAUAAAGCCUUGCUUGCUAUAGCUCAUGAUCAGGCGAUGACUGCUUGUUUCUUUACCUUGAAAGACGAGGAGAAAAAAGUUUUUGUGAAGACUUUGCUUAUGGGAGAUUUGGAGUGAACUACUUGGUGUAUUUAUUUUAAUUUGAUUUUUUUUUCAAGAAGAUACAUUGGAUUUUAAAAUUGAAGUGUUGGGAAUUCUCAUAUUUUAGCACCUUCUAGUAGAUUUGAAUUAGUAACACCUUCUAUGUGAUAUUUUAUUGUUGGGAGAUGUGCAUAAUUUAGCUUAAUUUAUCAAUUUUCAUUCCAUUGAGAUGUGAUUCUAGCAUACCAAACACAGGAAUUGGAAAGUGAAUGAUCAAUCCCGUCCCAAUUCCUAUCCAUAACCAAACAUGAGAAUGGGAAUCCUCAUUCCAGUUCCAAUUCCUCCAAUUCUAUUCCAUUCUUAAUUCCAUUCCAAUUUGCAUUCCAUUCAAUCCAACCAAACGCAUCCUUAGUCUUGUAGAUGAUGCAGCAGCAGAGAUCAAUAGAAAGGAAGUUUCCAUAUUUCCAGUUAAAGUUAUGGGUGCAGGUUUUGCAGUAUCUUGAAUUCAAUAAUUCAUCAAUGGCCAUAUUUAAGGGACUGAUGAUAAUGU